rnacentral:rRNA from 1 species
UACGGAGGGGGCUAGCGUUGUUCGGAAUUACUGGGCGUAAAGGGCGCGUAGGCGGUUUUUUAAGUAAGGCGUGAAAGCCCUGGGCUUAACCCAGGAGGUUCGUUUUAGACUGGAAAACUUGAGUGCGAGAGAGGAAAGUGGAAUUCCUAGUGUAGAGGUGAAAUUCGUAGAUAUUAGGAAGAACACCCGUGGCGAAGGCGGCUUUCUGGCUCGCAACUGACGCUGAGGCGCGAAAGCGUGGGGAGCAAACAGG